CGCAAGCUCACCUAGUUCGGGUUGGCGAGCCAAUCAACUUGAUGGGUAAGUUUCUUGGGGCUAGCCGGGUGUACCUUUCUUAUGCGCGCGUCCCUUCUUUGACCGUUUCGCCCACCCGUGUGACCCAACGGGUCACGUGGGAAGAUAGAUCCCGCCGGGGCUCGCCGUCGAACUGGUAGCGGUCGGAUGCUCCGCGGUCAAAAGCUGCUCUGUCUUCUUCGUCACUGUUCCAUGGAGGAGAGGACAGGGACAUUAAACUACCAAACAAUACAAACCGCCACCGAAAGAAAGAGUGCUCUCUGGGGCCGAUUGCCAAAAGUUACUGACCUUUUCUGCGGCUUCGAUUGGUCAAUGAUGCUAAUGUCUCAAAAGCUGGGUCCAAAGCAUUUGUUGUUCUGCUGCGGUAGAACUUUCAUGGAGGGCGCCAACGUGGAAGUCCUGCUUAAGACUUCUUCUCAUCAAUAUUUAAUGAUCGUGGUGGUCUUCGAUUGAUCUGUCGGCGCAUGCCAUCGAAUUCUUUGCCUGUGAGGCUUCGUUGAUGGUUCGCGAGAGUUGCUGGAUUCGGACGCUCCGCCAUUCACCACGCUCGAAGUCUAAGCAUUCGCGCGCAUUCCCUGCUUCGAUUAUUGAUCCCCGUAGCGGUGGCGCUUUUCCGUUGCCUGUGUCUGCAACAUCUUUUCUCCGUUCUGAAUGAGAGAGGAACGUUGCGUGCAGGUCAUUUUCUUUCUUAUCUGUGCUUUGCGUUGCCUACGACAAUUUGCAUCUCUCAGCUCUCAGCGACAGGAAAUGGCAGCGAAUCCGCCUCGGAUCCACGAUGGCGGCUUGUCGAGGACGGAGUCACGACGACGACGGGAGGGGGCCCGCCGGGCCCACGCGCCAACCGCCGAUGAUUUGUGUUUUCGGUGGGGCUCGACGUGGCGGUGACGCCGCUACCACCAUCGUCUGGGCUUUGACUCGGAGAUGACGCGGAGCCAACUCCUGCGACGUCGAAAGAGUCAACACCGUCAGAACAUUUACAGACGUUGAACUCACUAAUUUUGUUGUUGAAUUGUACGUCAAAUUAAAUUAUGAUGCACUAAAUCCAAUGCUUGUAUGAUAAUAUAUCAAAUGCAAAAUCUUUGUAGCCACAUAUGUCAGGGCAUCAGCUGUGUACAAUUGGGUUGUGAUGUUUUGAUCAGCUACGCUGACAGGUAGGGGAGGGAAUAUUGCAUUCCAAGAAUCCAUGAUGAAUUGGUUGCUAAGCUCUCACAGUCAUGGCCAGCUCACAUAGCAGUCGCACGGCAAAUGGAGACAAUAGCAAGG
rnacentral:lncRNA from 1 species